rnacentral:misc_RNA from 1 species
GAUGAAGAACGUAGCGAAAUGCGAUAAGUAAUGUGAAUUGCAGAAUUCAGUGAAUCAUCGAAUCUUUGAACGCACAUUGCGCCCCCUGGCAUUCCGGGGGGCAUGCCUGUUCGAGCGUCAUUACAACCCUCAAGCUCUGCUUGGUAUUGGGCUCUGCCGGUCCCGGCAGGCCUUAAAAUCAGUGGCGGUGCCACUCGGCUUCAAGCGUAGAAAUUCUUCUCGCUUCGGAGACCCGGGUGCGUGCUAGCCAGCAACCCCCAACUUUCUCAGGUUGACCUCGGAUCAGGUAGGGAUACCCGCUGAACUUAAGCAUAUCAAUAAGCGGAGGA